rnacentral:tRNA from 1 species
CGGGCCGUAGUAUAUCGGUAGUAUGCAUGCUUUGGGAGCAUGAGGGCCGAGUUCGAUUCUCGGCGGCCCGA